rnacentral:misc_RNA from 1 species
UAACCACUCAAGCUCUCUCGCUUGGUAUUGGGGUUCGCGGUUUCGCGGCCCCUAAAAUCAGUGGCGGUGCCUUGUCGGCUCUACGCGUAGUAAUACUCCUCGCGAUUGAGUCCGGUAGGUUUACUUGCCAGCAACCCCCAAUUUUUUAA